GAACGCUAGCGGGAGGCUUAACACAUGCAAGUCGAGCGGUAUUGACCUUCGGGUCGAGAGAGCGGCGCACGGGUGCGUAACGCGUAUGCAACCUGCCUUAUGCAGGGGGAUAGCCCGGGGAAACCCGGAUUAAUACCCCAUAGAUCAGUAGUAUCGCAUGGUACAGCUGGUAAAGAUUCAUCGGCAUAAGAUGGGCAUGCGUCUGAUUAGCUAGUUGGUAGGGUAACGGCCUACCAAGGCGACGAUCAGUAGGGGUUCUGAGAGGAUUAUCCCCCACACUGGUACUGAGACACGGACCAGACUCCUACGGGAGGCAGCAGUGAGGAAUAUUGGUCAAUGGGCGCAAGCCUGAACCAGCCAUCCCGCGUGAAGGAUGAAUGCCUUAUGGGUUGUAAACUUCUUUUGUACCUGAAGAAACUCUGGGUCGUGACCUGGACUGCCGGUAGGGUACGAAUAAGCAUCGGCUAACUCCGUGCCAGCAGCCGCGGUAAUACGGAGGAUGCAAGCGUUAUCCGGAUUUAUUGGGUUUAAAGGGUGCGCAGGUGGUUGAAUAAGUCAGUGGUGAAAGUCUGCCGCUUAACGGUAGGAUUGCCAUUGAUACUGUUUGACUUGAGUUUAGGUGAGGUAGGCGGAAUGUGUAGUGUAGCGGUGAAAUGCAUAGAUAUUACACAGAACACCGAUUGCGAAGGCAGCUUACUAAUCUACAACUGACACUGAGGCACGAAAGCGUGGGGAUCAAACAGGAUUAGAAACCUUGGUAGUCCACGCUGUAAACGAUGAUCACUCGCUGUUUGCGAUAUACAGUAAGCGGCUAAGCGAAAGCGAUAAGUGAUCCACCUGGGGAGUACGAUCGCAAGGUUGAAACUCAAAGGAAUUGACGGGGGCCCGCACAAGCGGAGGAACAUGUGGUUUAAUUCGAUGAUACGCGAGGAACCUUACCUGGGCUUAAAUGGGGAGUGACAGCUGGCGAAAGUUGGUUUUCUUCGGACACUCUUCAAGGUGCUGCAUGGUUGUCGUCAGCUCGUGCCGUGAGGUGUCGGGUUAAGUCCCAUAACGAGCGCAACCCUUACUGUUAGUUGCCAGCGGGUAGAGCCGGGAACUCUAACGGGACUGCC
rnacentral:rRNA from 1 species